rnacentral:rRNA from 1 species
CGCUAGCUACAGGCUUAACACAUGCAAGUCGAGGGGCAGCAUGGUCUUAGCUUGCUAAGGCCGAUGGCGACCGGCGCACGGGUGAGUAACACGUAUCCAACCUGCCGUCUACUCUUGGACAGCCUUCUGAAAGGAAGAUUAAUACAAGAUGGCAUCAUGAGUCCGCAUGUUCACAUGAUUAAAGGUAUUCCGGUAGACGAUGGGGAUGCGUUCCAUUAGAUAGUAGGCGGGGUAACGGCCCACCUAGUCUUCGAUGGAUAGGGGUUCUGAGAGGAAGGUCCCCCACAUUGGAACUGAGACACGGUCCAAACUCCUACGGGAGGCAGCAGUGAGGAAUAUUGGUCAAUGGGCGAGAGCCUGAACCAGCCAAGUAGCGUGAAGGAUGACUGCCUUAUGGGUUGUAAACUUCUUUUAUAAAGGAAUAAAGUCGGGUAUGGAUACCCGUUUGCAUGUACUUUAUGAAUAAGGAUCGGCUAACUCCGUGCCAGCAGCCGCGGUAAUACGGAGGAUUCGAGCGUUAUCCGGAUUUAUUGGGUUUAAAGGGAGCGUAGAUGGAUGUUUAAGUCAGUUGUGAAAGUUUGCGGCUCAACCGUAAAAUUGCAGUUGAUACUGGAUAUCUUGAGUGCAGUUGAGGCAGGCGGAAUUCGUGGUGUAGCGGUGAAAUGCUUAGAUAUCACGAAGAACUCCGAUUGCGAAGGCAGCCUGCUAAGCUGCAACUGACAUUGAGGCUCGAAAGUGUGGGUAUCAAACAGGAUUAGAUACCCUGGUAGUCCACACGGUAAACGAUGAAUACUCGCUGUUUGCGAUAUACGGCAAGCGGCCAAGCGAAAGCGUUAAGUAUUCCACCUGGGGAGUACGCCGGCAACGGUGAAACUCAAAGGAAUUGACGGGGGCCCGCACAAGCGGAGGAACAUGUGGUUUAAUUCGAUGAUACGCGAGGAACCUUACCCGGGCUUAAAUUGCAGAUGAAUUACGGUGAAAGCCGUAAGCCGCAAGGCAUCUGUGAAGGUGCUGCAUGGUUGUCGUCAGCUCGUGCCGUGAGGUGUCGGCUUAAGUGCCAUAACGAGCGCAACCCUUGUUGUCAGUUACUAACAGGUUCUGCUGAGGACUCUGACAAGACUGCCAUCGUAAGAUGUGAGGAAGGUGGGGAUGACGUCAAAUCAGCACGGCCCUUACGUCCGGGGCUACACACGUGUUACAAUGGGGGGUACAGAGGGCCGCUACCACGCGAGUGGAUGCCAAUCCCAAAAACCUCUCUCAGUUCGGACUGGAGUCUGCAACCCGACUCCACGAAGCUGGAUUCGCUAGUAAUCGCGCAUCAGCCACGGCGCGGUGAAUACGUUCCCGGGCCUUGUACACACCGCCCGUCAAGCCAUGGGAGCCGGGGGUACCUGAAGUGCGUAACCGCGAGGAGCGCCCUAGGGUAAAACUG